UACGUAGGGUGCAAGCGUUAAUCGGAAUUACUGGGCGUAAAGCGAGCGCAGGCGGUUCUGUAAGACAGAUGUGAAAGCCCCGGGCUUAACCUGGGAAUUGCAUUUGUGACUGCAGAGCUAGAGUGUGUCAGAGGGAGGUAGAAUUCCGCGUGUAGCAGUGAAAUGCGUAGAUAUGCGGAGGAAUACCGGUGGCGAAGGCGGCCUCCUGGGAUAACACUGACGCUCAUGCUCGAAAGCGUGGGGAGCAAACAGG
rnacentral:rRNA from 1 species